rnacentral:ncRNA from 2 species
UAGUGACGCAUCUGCUUCGGUUCGAGCGCUUCGGCGUUCGAUGAAAAGGGAACGCAGUGCGACCCGUUCGGUCAAACCUGCGGCUGCCCCCCGCAACAGUAAGCGAUGAACUAAGCCGGAUUUGCCACUGGAGUGAUCAAAGCACUGGGAAGGCCCGGCCCAGCCUAGAUCUGCGAGCCAGGAGGCCUGCCGAGGUGUUCAUCCUGUU